GGGAUGGUCUGUGCCCAGAACAUAAAGAGCACAGGUCCCUGUAGGGGAGAUUCUGGGAGUCCCCUGGUCUGUCAGUUUCAGACAUCAUGGGUCCAGGUGGGGACUGUGAGCUGGGGUGAUCGCUGUGGUUUGAAAGAAGUGCCUGCAGUGUACACAGAUGUUAGUUUCUACAAGGACUGGAUCACUGCAAGAAUGAGUCAGGCAUCGGGUCUGGACUCUGGAUUCCUUAUUCUGCUACUGUGUCUGUUGCUGCCUCUGGGCAUCCUGGCAACCCUGUGAUCACCCUGGCCUCUGCCAUUUCUGCUUCUGAGUGUCACAUUAGCCCUGCCUCUGAGAUGCCUCUCCUACUCAAUGCCCUGUCCUCAAAUCCGUUUGGGGUCCACUGAUCCUGUGGAGAUCCACAGGACAGAGUGGCUGCGAGUGAAGACCGAAAUGGUACCUGCCUGGUGCUCCAGGAACCUGCCUCAUCGAGGCCUAUCUGUAGGCCGUGCUCUGCUUGCCAGGAAGGAGUGGGUGAAACCUUCUCACUUGGAUGGACAGCGACCUGCCAGCUGAAAAGAGCAUGUGUACCACAACUAAACACUGCUGCUGCCGCCAAGUCACUUCAGUCGUGUCCAGCUCUGUGCGACCCCAUGGGCGGCAGCCGACCAGGCUCCCCCGUCCCUGGGAUUCUCCAGGUG